UUUCCUCUCCGUGACCCUUCUUCCCCCUCUAGGGGUCCUGGGCUGCCCUGAGGCCACCGCCUAGCAAGAUCAAGAUAGGGCUUGAGCGGCAGUGGGAUAGGGCAGUGGGGGUUCCGGGGGGGUCCGGUGCAGGCAGAACCAAGAGUGUGCCGGCGGAGGGCUGUCGGUACAGGGUGCAGGGCGUGGCGGCUGCAGGACCUCAGCUUGCCUCUUUAAAUCCCUUCCUGGGCACCGCGGUGGCCCGGCCCUUUCCCCUCGUGCUGUUUCUGCUGGAAACGCCGCACAGUCUCCUCGGGGGCAGCCGCCAGCGGAAACGGUUAUUGGCCGCCAGGCAAGCCAGUCCCAUCCUUCCCAGCAACUGGGACUUUCCGGGCAGGGCUCCCCAGCGCGGGUUCAGCUAAUUAAGGAAGCAAUUAGCCUCCCCUGAGGCUAUUCAUGCUUCCUCACCCACAGUUCUCAGGUUCUGUGAGACCAGAGCCUCAGUCUCCCGUGAGCAGAGGGUGUGUGUGUGGCUGCCACUAUUCUGCAGACACGCUGGCUCCACCCCAGAGAGUUGCAGGGCCAGGAAAUCUGCAUUUAAACAGACCCUGGCUCUCACACUUCGGAAACUGCCCGAAGCACCUCUCAAAUAUGGGACAGGUGCUUAGGCCGAAAAUCAGGAAUCUCUUGAAUGAAUGCAUGAAGGUGGAGCCCUUUCCCUUAAUGCGCAGGUGAAAAGGGCACCUCGGUGGAUUCUACUAAAUUUAAUAGAAGACUUGAUGGAUUACAGAGGACUCCUGCUCCAGCUGUGGGGAACUCCAGCCCGCACUUUGCCUCCAGCCCGAUGGUGCAAGAUCCAGCUUCUCUUCAGCCUGGCAUCAAACGUCUUUUUGAUCAGCUUUUCAUCCAUUUUCUGAAAAUGUAGUGAUUGAGAGAUGUUCUGAAUCUUGCAGAAUUCUGUGUCGCACCCUGGCCACACAUCAAUGCAGGCCUGAACCUGACCCUGGGUGGACUCCCUGCUCUCUGCCAGCCCCUUUCUCACCCCUGGGUCCCCACGGCCCCUGGCUCUCUCCCCUCUGCUAGAAUCUCGCUGAGGGAUUGGUGGGGAGGGGGUGGUCACGCACUGGGUGGAGAUCUGGUGCCCCCUGGAGGCCGGACAGGAAGGGCCAGGGCGGACAAGGUCUUUGAGAACUCGGUGGCAUCCCGCUCCUGAUGGCCUGGGUCCCACCGCCCCUCCCCCAGCCUUCCUGACAGCAGAGGAGAUUGAUGGGGCGCUGCUCGAAUGUUCUUCAUCAGCGUCUUCAGUAAUAAGCUUCUCCAUUGGGUAACCGAUCCUAGUUUAGCAAAACCGUUUGUCAACCAUUUCCUCCCUUGAGCUUGAUAAGAACCCCGUGGGAGAGGAGAGAGGGGGGCCCCCCAGGAUCUGAAAAGCUGUGCCUCAGCCAAGUUCAUGAGUCACUGGCGAGGAGGCCUGUAGGUCAGCAAAGCCUAGGAGGUCAAGAGUGCCCACAUGGGGACCUACGGGCCUCAGGGCCGCAGGUUGCUGGGUUGGACCCUGGCUUGGAGCUCAGGAUAGAAACCCGGAAACCCCACAGGCAAAGAAGGAUGCAGAACAGAACAGGGCAGAACCAAGGACCCAGUGAGGGUGGCUGGCGUCAGAGCAAAUAUCAGAGUUCACAAGGUGAAAUAAUCCAAAAAUCUAUACAGAAAAAGCUAAUCAUUUUCUCCAAUCUCUCCCCCAAAGGUGUCUACUCCUGCAGGCUUACCUGUAACCUUUGUCACUCACUCUUCUGAUUCUGCAAACAUAUAAACCACGGAGCCACAGCCAAGAGAAUCUGGACUUGUUCGUUUUUCCUGAAAUAGGAUAUCUUAAAUAAUCCGUGGCUCAGCACUGCGCCCUUUUUUUUCUUUUCUUUUCUUUUUUUUUUUUUUUUUGAGACGGAGUCUCGCUCUGUUGCCCAGGCUGGAGUGCAAUGUCAUGAUCUUGGCUCACUGCAACCUCUGCCUCCUGGGUUCAAGCAACUCUCCUGCCUCAGCCUCCUGAGGAGCUGGGACUGCAGGUGCAAGACACCACGCCUGGCUAAUUUUUGUUAUUUUUAGUAGAGACAGUGUUUCACUAUGUUGGCCAGGCUGGUCUCGAACUCCUGACCUCAAAUGAUCUGCCUGCCUCGGCCUCCCAAAGUGCUGGGAUUACAGGCACAAGCCACAGCACCCAGCCUCACUGUGCCCUUUUCACUGGCAGGCAUUUUAUUGUCCCUACAGACCCAAGACGGGGUGGGGGAGACGUGCUUUGUGCUCACCUGGCUGGUUCAUGGGCAGGUGGCCUGGAGGACCCAGCCCUGGCAGCUGUGGGGUAGCUCCAGCCUGGGCCGGACAGCUUCUUUCAUCGCAGGCACCACUGCGGACAUUGCUGGGAGGAAGAGGAGGGAGAAGCGACGGGCUUCAUUAGGAACGGCUUUCGAUGGAUUGGACGAGGCGCGUCCACCCUGGGGAGGGCCAUCAUUUUAUUCAGUCUACUGAUGCAAAUGCUUAUCUCUUCUGGAAACACCUUCACAGACAGACCCAGAAUAUAGUUGAACCAAAUACUGGGCACCUCAUGGCUCCAACAGGUUGACACAAAAAAUGAACCAUUGCAGAAAACGAAGAACAGUCACCAACUCCCACCCAUGCAGCUGGCUCAUUUGCUGGGCUGCCCUCCCCAGCAGGUGGCACAGGAAUCCCUGCCUUGGCAGGGAGGAGGCCUGGGGUGUGUGCAGGUACCCAUGGGAAGUUUCUUUGCCAUGGGGAAAGCCAGAGUCACCCCUUGCUUGAACACAAGAGUUGGAGGUUUCAGUGAGCUGAGAUUACGCUAUUGCACUCCAGCCUGGGCGGCAGAGUGAGACUCUGUCUCUAGAUAAAUAAAUUAAAUAAAUAAAUAAAUAUAAUUUAAUAUAAAUAACUAGAAAUUUUUCAAUACUUGCAUCUCUGUAGGUUACCUCUGGAAGUGCAGGGCUUUGUCUUUUUGGAUUAACUCAGAAAUUAGACCUUCAGAAAACAACAUCAGCUCUGAUUCUCUGCACCCUUGAUGCUGCCGGUGGCGACUGCGGCUUCCUGAUGGAAAUGUAGACCUGAACAUAAGUCGCAGAAAAAUGCAGACUUGAGUUGGAGCUAAGCUGACUCAGCCUCGCGGUGACCGCAGCCCUGGCUGACACCUUGCUUGCAGCCUGGUGAGAGACAGCAGCCCGAGGACCCUGCUAAGCUGCACCCAGGCUCCUGACCCAUGGAAACUGUGAGAUGAUAAACAUGUACUGCUUAAGCUGAGAUUCGGGCUAAUUUGUUACACAGUCAUAGACAUCGUUUUUUGUUGUUGUUGUUUUUUGAGAUGGAGUCUCACUCUGUCGCCCAGGCUGGAGUGCAGUGGCACAAUCUCAGCUCACUGCAACAUCCACCUCCCAGGUUCAAGCGAUUCUCGUGCCUCAGCCUCCCAAGUAGCUGGGAUUACAGGCAUCUGCCACCAUGCCCGGCUAAUUUUUUUGUAUCUUUAGGAGAGACAGGGUUUCACCAUGUUGGCCAGCUGGUCUCAAACUCCUGAGCUCAAGAGAUCUGCCCACCUUGGCCUCCCAAAGUGCUGGGAUUACAGGCAUGAGCCACUGUGCCCGGCCUGUUACACAGUCAUAGACAUCUAUAAAAUACUCAACACGGUGCCGGCGCAUGGCAAGCAUCAGUUACUGACCACGGUGACCCUUCUGUGUACACCAGGGGAACUCAAAAUACUCAGGAAAUCUAAGCAUAUAAGCCUAGUCACCAGGCUGUCGACAUGACCCUUAACAAUGAACCUGUGUCUUUUGCCACCUCAUGAUGUCAUAGAAGAAGAGCAGCAUCAAUGUUAAGAGUCUGGAGGAGGGACUAGAUGCUGUGGCUCACACCUGUAAUCCCAGCACUUUGGGAGGCCGAGGCAGGUGGAUCACCU
rnacentral:lncRNA from 1 species